rnacentral:rRNA from 1 species
GUGUCAGCCGCCGCGGUAAGACAGAGGUGGCGAGCGUUGUUCGGAAUCACUGGGCUUAAAGGGCGCGUAGGUGGUAGUGCAAGUCUGGGGUGGAAUCCUAUGGCUUAACCAUAGAAUUGCCUUGGAAACUGUAUUACUUGAGUCAGUGAGGGGAGGGUAGAAUUCCUGGUGUAGCGGUGAAAUGCGUAGAUAUCAGGAGGAAGGCCUGUGGCGAAGGCGGCCCUCUGGCGCUGAACUGACACUGAGGCGCGAAAGCGUGGGGAGCAAACAGGAUUAGAUACCCUGGUAGUCCACGCCCUAAACGGUGGGUACUAGGUGUAGGGCUCGUAAGGGUUCUGUGCCGAAGCGAAAGCAUUAAGUACCCCGCCUGGGGAGUACGGCCGCAAGGUUGAA